rfam:Gossypium hirsutum cultivar TM-1 chromosome 6, whole genome shotgun sequence
AUUUCAAAUUUUCAUUUAUUUCUAUUAUUAAAAACUGACGUGGUUAACAAAAUCAUCAGAUAGUUAAAAUUGAUGUACCACGCGUACCUCAUGUCGACGUACAUAUAUCAAAUUUUAACAGUAGAAAUGAAUGAACUGUUAAGAA